UAUCUAUAAAAAAGAUUUUAUGCUUGUUUCUUUCUCUUGUUUGAGACAAGUCGUGAAUCUAGGAUAUUGUGGUCUUUUACAGUGAAAGAAGUUGGGACGAGGUUGUCAAUAAUAGAUUACCUAGAGAAAUCGGUAAAAGAAAUUUCCACCCAAGAUUUAAUAGUUGGUCCAUUCUCAGCCUCGGUAAAGUCCAUCUUGUUGCAAUGGGAAUGAACAAAAACAAAUAAGUUUUGGCUAAUGUGAUAAAGAUACCAAUUAGUGUUCCAAAGACUUUACCUCCUUUAUUUAUGCCAAAUAUAUCAGGAACAAAUAUGUACGGAAUAGAAAGAUUCCAACCUCCCAAGUAAAGAACUGUUACAAAUAAUGAAGAAACUAGUAGAUUCAGAUAUGAAGCAAUGUAAAAUAAACCAAAUUUGAUACCAGAAUAUUCGGUUUGAUACCCUGCUACUAAUUCUUCUUCUGCUUCUGGUAAAUCAAAAGGUAAUCUUUCACACUCGGCGAGAGAAGAAAUUAGAAAAACGAUAAACCCGAUGGGUUGACGCCACAAAUUCCACCCCCAAAAACCAUAUUUUGACUGCGCUUCCACUAUAUCAACUGUACUUAAACUGUUAGAUAAUCAUAGUCGAUGAUAACAUCACUGUGCCCAUCGCUAUUACAGAACCGUACGUGAGAUUUUCACCUCAUACGGCUCCUCAGAGGUCACAACUAAAUCUAAGGGCCCUUUCCUAUUCUUUAUCUUGAUAUGUUUGUCAGAUAGAGUCAAAAUCUAUUCUAAGGUCCCAAAUUAGACCAAUGGAAUUCUGUCUGCUAUAUUUAAAACUAAUAAAUAAGUGCUUCUGAAUUUAUCUCAUCUUUUAAGAAUUUUAAUUUUUCUUUGUUGAUUAAUAACCUUAUCAUUAAAUAAAAAAAUGUGCUUUAUAGCAAUAUCACAUAUACAUUUCAACCUCGAAUUUUCAAUUACGAAAAAAAUUAGAGAGUACAUUAGUUCAUGAAUCAUGACAAAAAUUUUAUCUCUCUAAAUAGAAAUAAAAAUUGAAUUAUAGGAAAGAAAGAAUAAAAACAAAAAAGACAUCCCUCCUUUUUCCUUUUGCAAUUAGCUUCUUUUCUUUCUAUUUCGAUUUUUUUAUUUCAUUCCUAUUCUCCUUUCUCAGAAAAAGGGUCUUUAACCAAAGUAAAAGAUUACUUCGUUCUUGAUAGUUAGUUACUUACUCAGUGGAUAGGAACAUACUCUGGAUCAGAAUCAUGGGGAGUACUUCUUGAUCAUUUCUACGAACGUAAAGCCCCAAUUUGAAUUCCUUUUAUGUACAGAAAUAUCCUCUUGGAUAACUUACAUAAUCUCAAUUACUAAUCCUUUGUGUAUCUUAGUCUUCCUAACCAUCCACUCAUUUUUUGUUUCAAAAACCUCCCGUUGUGGAAAUCCAUCUAUGGUAAUAGACAGUAAAAACUCCAUAGAGUUGGUCUUUUGAACCCGCUUCAAGCUAUCAUGACAAUUCACGAAUCUUGGGGUAAACAAUCUCUCUUGCUUAUGUUUACUUUUUUCACCAUUUGAUUCUUGUACAUAGGAAAUGAGACUCAACUUUUUUACUGCAAAUUUAGAAGCCGUUUUCUUUCACUCAUAUAACUAUCUGAUUUAGUUCAUCAACUCAAAUGCUGAAGAAAAAAAUAUAUAUAAUCAAUCAAAUCUUUUUAUCCUUGUUUCUAGAAAGAAAAGAAUUUGGAUAAAUUUUAGGUCUCACCGAAUCACACGUAGAGAUAUUGAUAACACACAUAGAGCUAAUGGUAUUUCAUAACUAAUUGAUUGAGCAGCUGCCCGUAGACCACCUAAAAAGGAAUAUUUAUUAUUUGAUCCAUACCCCGACAUAAGAAGUCCAACGGGAGCAAUACUUGAAAUGGCAAUCCAAAAAAAAACACCAAUACUAAGAUCGGCUAGAACAAGGUGAUCACCAAAAGGAAUUACUGAAUAACUUAGAAAGAUAGAUAUUACUGCUAUGGAUGGUCCGAUACUGAAUAAACGAGUAUCUCCUGUAGAUGGAAUAAGGUUCUCUUUCAAAAGUAGUUUUGUCCCAUCUGCUAGAGCUUGAAGAAUUCCUAACGGGCCGGCAUAUUCAGGCCCAAUACGUUGUUGUAUUCCUGCAGAUAUUUCUCUUUCUAACCAAACAAUUAC
rnacentral:lncRNA from 1 species